AUUGAACGCUAGCGGGAUGCUUUACACAUGCAAGUCGAACGAGUGGCGGACGGGUGAGUAAUAUAUCGGCACGUGCCCAAUAGCGGGGGAUAACUACUCGAACGGGUGGCUAAUCCCGCAUACUAUCAGAUAGGCCACAAUCGGAUUAGCUUGUUGGUGGGGUAAAGGCUCACCAAGGCAACGAUCCGUAGCUGGUUUUAGAGGACGACCAGCCACACUGGGACUGAGACACGGCCCAGACUCCUACGGGAGGCAGCAGUGGGGAAUUGUGGACAAUGGGGGAAACCCUGACGCAGCCAUCCCGCGUGUAUGAGAAGGCCUUCGGGUUGGAAAGUACUUUUGGCAGAGAAGCGGUAUCUGCAGAAUAAGCACCGGCUAACUACGUGCCAGCAGCCGCGGUAAUAC
rnacentral:rRNA from 1 species